UGCAUCGCUGAUGAUAAUCUGGCUCCCUCUACUGAAAGCCGUGACGAUUUUGCCACUGUUACCCAAUUUGUGUCUGAGAUGCA
ensembl:snoRNA small nucleolar RNA, C/D box 100